UCUAGUGACAAUAGCGAGCGGGAACCACCUGAAUCCAUUUCGAACUCAGAAGUGAAAACGCUCAGCGCCGAUGAUAGUGUGGAUAUAAUCCAUGUGAAAGUAGGUCAUUGCUAGGC
rnacentral:rRNA from 1 species